GCCAUCCUUCUUGCUCUGAGCUAGAGUACAGACAUUAGUCUUCUGAGGACUGCAGAGAUCACUGGAGGGCCUCAGGGGUGUUGAGGAGCCUCCCCUUCCGCGAGAGCUACACCCAGCAUCUCUGGGGAAAUCAAAUGGCUCUGGAUGGAGAGACCUAUUUAUCCAAGAUAAACCCAGAAAUGUAGGUUGAAGGGAGGAGGUUACUUGGAGAAGAGAAAAAGUGUUCAGUUCUGAAGACACUGGAGACCAACAGAGAAAGCGUCUGGAGUAGUCGGGGAGCAACCAUAAAAAUGGACAAAAUACAUGAGGCAACUGAGUCAUUCAACCUCCGGCAUCCCAGGACUGUGAUCCUUGUCAAGGAAACACGUCAGAUCUCCCCGAAGAAAUUUCUCAAAGCUCAGGGACCUUCCUGAGAUUUCACCUAGGUCCCCUCCCUGCCACUUCCUUGGGGUGUUCAAUUGCCCCUAUCCAACCACACGUGCAACCUGGUUCAGUUCUCAUGCAACCUCAGAGCUCAGAACCAUUUUACUUACAAACUUUGUUGAUUCUACCUGGACCAGCUUUCUCAAGAGGCCAGAUUUGGUUGCCUAAUUCCAACAGCUGCUGCUAAUGCUCUCCUGACAACAACUGUUCAAUGACAAUUUGCUGUUGAUCACUGUGGUUCCCCGGGAUGGAAAUGCCAGAGACUGGUAGCUCAGAUUGGUUUACCAGCAGUCUAAGCGUUUAUGUUUAGACUAACACAAUUAUUGUACUGCGCUCAUA